GAAGUUAGUCGGGCAAUCGCUGCAUGGUUUUUAAAUCUGUAGAGGAAAGUCCGGGCUCCAAAGAGCGGGGUGCCGGUUAACAGCCGGACGUUGUGAAGCGAUGGACAGUGCAACAGAAAGUGUACCGCCUCGAGCCUCUGGUUUGGGGUAAGGGUGAAAAGGUGAGGU
rnacentral:RNase_P_RNA from 1 species